GAUGAACGCUGGCGGCGUGCCUAAUACAUGCAAGUCGAGCGAACAGAUGAGGAGCUUGCUCCUCUGACGUUAGCGGCGGACGGGUGAGUAACACGUGGAUAACCUACCUCUAAGACUGGGAUAACUUCGGGAAACCGGAGCUAAUACCGGAUAAUAUAUUGAACCGCAUGGUUCAAUAGUGAAAGACGGUUUUGCUGUCACUUAUAGAUGGAUCCGCGCCGCAUUAGCUAGUUGGUAAGGUAACGGCUUACCAAGGCGACGAUGCGUAGCCGCCCUGAGAGGGUGAUGGGCGACCCCGGAACGGAGACGCGGCGCAGACGCCUACGGGAGGCGGCAGUAGGGAAUCUUCCGCAAUGGGCGAAAGCCUGACGGAGCAGCGCCGCGGGGGUGAUGAAGGUCUUCGGAUCGUAAAACUCUGUUAUUAGGGAAGAACAAAUGUGUAAGUAACUGUGCACGUCUUGACGGUAGCUAAUCGGAAAGCGACGGCUAACUACGUG
rnacentral:rRNA from 1 species